GCUAUAUUGCUCUCUGAACUCUCUCAGGUACAUCAUUUGAACUCAUCUUUUUAUGCUUCUGUGUCUAUAGAUGGUUCUGCUGUAAUGUCCUUUGCGCAUGAACUACGAAAUGCAUUAAUUAUGGAUUAUUAUGUAAUUUUCUUUGUGCACGAACUAUUGAAUGCUUAAAUUACGGAUUUCUAGUCGAUUACAUUAAUAUAUUUUGGAAUUAGAUAGAUUGAUUUUAGCAGUUAGGGUUAUUUUGAUGUUACUGUGACACGGUUUUUAGUUUAUUUAGGUUUUUGAUCGUUUGUUUUGUUUUUGAAGGCGUGGAGUGAGCAACGCAGGGUUGCUGUACCGAAGAAGAGACUUGAAUUGAUUAAUCAGCUCAAGAAAAAUCAUCGGAGGACAAAGCUUCCAAACACGGUUACCAUUGAUUCCAUUUACGAGAAAAAAUUCAUUGGUUUGAACAGUGUUCUAGAAGCUGUAAUUAUUGAUGCAUAUGUACUUCCAGGUACAUUGGAAUCAUAGCAUUUUUUUUUUGUAAUAAUAGUUUAUUAUAUGGAUCGAGUGUGAAAAUAUAUGGCUGCACUAUAUUGCAAUUUAUUUAUUCCGAUCAAACUGCGGUGGCAUUUUUCUCAUAUGAGAAAUGACAAGCUUUUGAAUAUUGACAUUCAUUCAGGUGUAGCCAGAUAAGCAGAAAAAAAUCAGUUGAAUGUUUAUUUGACACAUUAUCACCUGUGUGGAGGUCCAAGACAUGCUGCAACCCUUGGCAAAGGUUUAUGACAGCACUUAUAUGACCUACCAAUGAAGCACGGCUCUGUCAACUUAUUUAUUGAUUGAUAUCUGUUUUGAUAUUUUACACCAUUUUCAAUGCAGUAGAAAGUGAUUUGGUUUAGGAGAAGUCAGUAAAAAAUACCUCUAAAUUGUAUUUUAGUUAAUUUAUUUUUCUGAUAUAGCCCAUCAUGUAUUUAAUCUUAGGAUAAUGUUAGGUUGUUGUCCCCCUUAUGGGUAGAAAUAAGCUAGGCUGCUUACAAAGUUCUAUGGCUUAGUGUACAUCAACUUCAUUCCACACUAUAUUUAUAAUUGUCAGUUAAAUUAGUCUGGUCAAAGCUUUUCUAAAUCUCUAUUUAACUAAAAAAGUCACACUUUAAGUACCCGUAAAUCAUUUUAGACCUACCACGUCCAUCUAUUUAAGUAAACAUAAAUAAUAUUUUCUCUUGUUGUUAUUAUUUAGUAUUUAUAUUUUGGAUUUUGUAUAUUGUCAUAAAAUCAUAUACGUUAGACCUUUGUAAUCAUUUAAGCAUGUUAGCCUACAUAAAGACUUAAAUCUAUAAUCUUAUUAGUUUAAGUUGAAUUUAUGACCUAUGUAAAGGCCUAUUGGAAAAUCGGUUAUUAUGUCGGACUUUAAAAAAGGUUAGGUUAUGCUUUUAAAUAUAUGUCAAUAUGGCAUAAAUAAAGUAGACUUAUACUUUAAAAAACUUGAUUUUACCUACAAAUUUUCCCUGCUAACAGGCUUUUAAGUUCUCUAAUAGACCAGAUCAGACCUUCAAAAACAUCAUGCCAUGCCUAAAGGGGAGCCCGUAACAGGUCUUGAUCUUGAUUUGUUAUACAGACAAGAUAUAUUUAAGUAAAGAUUUGCUCAACCCGUCUAUUCUCACCCCUAGUUUCUGUUGCAGAUAAAAUAAAACGUGUUGCUUCUGCAGCAGUUGAUGCUAAAUUGCUAAUCAUUGUAAACUGUUCCUUUUUUUGCAGGCACAAACAUCCACAUGCUUACAUUAGGGGAUUAUUGGAGCUCUAAUAUCAUAGAUCUCUAUCUACACCGUAGGUAAAUGCAUUAUGCAAUGUUAAAUCUUUCAAGGUCAAUAACAGUUUUGUAAUUUGGUGAAUAAAAUAAUAAAAUGUGCUGUUCUUGCCAACUACACAUGGCUUGUUUCUAUUGCCGGAGAAAAUAUGGAAGCCCAGAAAUACUUACAACUAUGUAGUUCAUUUUGUUGAGUGCACUCUUUAUACAAAAUACUUGAGAGACAUUCCAACAGACAAGGAGUGUGAUUAGUGAAGUUUAAGUUGAUUUAUGUCUUGGAACUAGUUCUUCUUUCCAAUUAAUGAUCAAAUCAAUAUUUAUUGGUAAUGCUUAAUUUACCAUUGAGUUACUUUUAAAAAGUAUAUAUUUGCAUUAAAUGCAUGCCUUUUUUUCCAAAAGGGCUCAAAUACAUGUAUUGAACCAUUUGCGUAGCAUGUGAUUUGAACUCAAAAGUUGCCAUAUUCUUAUUCACAAUUCCAUUCAAGAAUUUUUAUGAUGAAUUCCAUUAAGAUUAAAUGAAUCAUAUUUUGUCCAGCAGAUUCUACGACUUGGCAGGCCUGCCACAUGGAAUUCUGAAGAAAGGGAGGGAGGUUUUUCUCACUGGCUGCUACCUCCGAACUGCCACUGAAAGUUCUGGUCAUCCGCGUCUUUUGCCAACAGAAUAUCUUGCGAUUCUAUUGGAUGAGGUAACCGUCAGUUUAUGUAGUGUCGUGGUCUUAAAAUUUAAUCAUCCUAGUUUCAUAUGCUAGUAGUUCAAGUUCAGAACUAAGUCUCUGCUUCUGAAAACUAGCUUUAUACUGCACCUAUAUUAGAUUCGGAUCAAGUUUUCAUGAAGAUAAGCCUUUUGUUAUCUUUAAAUUAUAGAAUCAGGAUGAUGAUGCAAUGCUGUUAGGAGCUCAGUUUUGUUCAGACUCAUUCUCUUCAAUUUCCUUGGACGCAGUAAACAAGGGGGCUUCUUAUUCACUUUAUGCCAGGUACUCUUCUUGCAAUGGGUGUUGUAUUUGCUACAUGACUUUGUUGUUGUCAGGGGCAGAUCCACUAUGGAGCUAAUGGGGACUGUUGCCCACACAAGAAACUAAAAAAUUAGUUUAAUAAUACUAUUAUUUUUAUAAAGUCCCAUAAAACCUUAUAGUUUUAAAAUGCAUGUUGUGUAUCCAAUUAUAUAUUUACUUCUAAAGUUAGUUUUAAUUUUGUCUUUGACAAUUGCAACUAUUGAAAGAUGUGUCUGUACCAUGAAUUAUGUGAAGAAUUGAAUGUACAAUUGUAUAUUUAUAAAGAUAUCUAAGUAUAGCAUUCAAUGACAUGAUCCACAACACAGUGAUACUUUUUCUUCUUACAAGGAAGCGUGCCUUUGCUAUUUUCUUUUAUUGAUUACAGAAUUGAAAGCAUUGAAUCUGCGGAAAUUCAAGGGACAUUUGGGAUCUCACAAAGGAAACAGAUUACUCUUGUUGAUGGUGAUGGUGUCACAUUAAAAUUUUUCUUGUGGGGUGAGCAGAUUAUCCUUGCCAAUCUUUUCAGGUGAAUUCUCGAUUGUCAAACUUAUGCCGCUGAGUAACUCUUUUAUAUGUGGGUAACAUUCACCAUGUUGGUGGGUUUCAGAGUAGGAAGCAUGCUUGCCUUGGACAAACCAUAUGUUGCAAGUUCUGUUGAGUGUGAUGUUGAAGCAAGCGAAGAAUAUUGUCUUGAAUAUGGAAGUGCAACACAAUUAUAUUUGGUGCCUUAUAUUCAACAUGAAGAACAGGUAUCUUAAUGGAUUUUUGUAUGACAUUAACUAUAGUAAUUGUCAUAUGGAGAGAAUACUAAACAGCUCUGCUGAUUAGGUGUGCGUAGCAAUGACACCGAACCGUCAUCAAGGUUCAAGGCAAAUGGGUUCUUAUAAUCCCAGUCAGGGUCUCAGGUUCUCUCAAGUGAGCUUGCCUUGUGACUCUCAUGGUACUGUUGAUUUCAGUAAUUACCCUUUUCGGGUGAGUUUACCAUUUACCACUCUCCCAAAGAAAAGAAAAUGAUAGAUUUUUUCUUAUUUCUAGUUUUUCAUGAUCUCAAUAGCCACCUCGCAUUGAAUUUACUUUAUUUAUGUUAGAAAGAUGUUUAUUCUGGUUGGAAGUUGUUGAGAAGCAUGAUAGAGUGUAACAAAGAGAAAAAUAGUUGAGAGAACGAAUGAUUAUUUGAAAUUGAUAGAAUGAGAAAAGUUGAUUACAAUGAGCGUAGCAUACACUUUAUAUAAAGAUCUUAAUUAAGCAAACAAAUUUUAACUAAUUAGUCUUAAUUUGUAACAUUUGGUGAUAUGAUUAUGUCGGCUUUAGCUUAAGGUAUACAAGCUUGCAAGAUUUACAUGCAAGUCUUCAAGUCUAUAUAAUUUGUUGGAAUAAAAGCUCUUUUGGUAGUAAGAUUGCCUAAUCGUACACAUGCUUUGCCUGCGUGUUUUUUCCUGAGCCUACUUCUUUUAGUAUCUCAGUUUGCAAAUGCUACGUAGUACAUAAAUUGGUCAACAUUGAAGUCUUCAUUCAUGCUACUAAGUUUUUGGUAGACGAAUCUGCAUAAGCAUUGCCGUUCAUAUGACUAAAUGAUUUUACUGCUUAUACUUUUUACAUUAUCAUGCCUACUCUCCUUAGAAGUGUUAAUCUUCAGUCCUUGUGGUUGAUUAGUUAAUCUCAUUAUCUGUGUGAAGUUUUGCAGUCAUUAGUGGCCGACCUUCGUAACAAAAUGACUGGCAUCAGCCUCUAUGGUGUUGUUACAGAGGUUAACAAAGAAGAUAAUAACCAAGAGACUGUUUUUUCCUUAAGAAUCGCGGAUACUAGCGGAGAAAUCAGGGCAAAGCUUCAUUUUACCAGAUUUUGGUAAUGAUUGCAAGCAUUACUUGUAUUAACUUCCAGCUGUUCUUAAGAAAUACCCCAAUUUAGUACAGGGAUGCAUGCUGGGUAGGCCUAAGCAUGGUUUUUUUGUUUUGUUUUGAAAAAACAAGGAUUUAAAGAAAAUGUAUCAGUGCUUAAUUGCUUAAAUUUAUAUAUAUAUAUAUUGUUAGUGUAAAUCAAUUUUACACUGAUAAAAAUAAUCUGUUUUGUCAUAUAUAUCCUUAGGAUGUGUGAUAAGUGAUGUGAGAAAAGUAGCGAGAAGAAAAUGUAAAAUGAAGUUUGAAAAAAAGGAGGGAAAAUGAUCGAAAAUAUGAUAUUAUUUGGCAUGUUUCCCUAUGUCUUUCCAGGUAUUUUUUUUUAGUGUCCUCCCAUUCCUCCCACACUUAUGAUUAUAUAAUAACAUGUCUCAGGUCAGUGGGAAGGGUGAGUCUCGGUCACACGGUAUUUAUAUCUGGCUUGACAUGCACCGCGUCAAAACGUCAAAAGCGGUGAGCACAUUAUUGAAUGUUUAAAACUGAUGCACACCACCAGCCAUCACCUAAGGAGAAAGACAAUUGUAAAAAUUUACGGUGUGAAAUUGAGUUGUUCUUUUAAUACUAUUUUUUAUCCUUCAAAGUUUAAUAGUGUUAAAAAGAACAACUCAAUUUCCAAUACCCUUGCUGAUCAUGGUCUGCUGGCGGCUCCAUCUGUUUUCUCUGCCUUUAUAGUUUAAUCAAUGUAGUGAUGUUUGACUUGACAGUCUGGAAGUAUCAUGGUUUGAGAAUGGUUGCGGGGCUUCUUUCAUCAAUCUCAGUUGCUUACCAGCAUUGCUCAACUCAUCUUGCCUUCAUAAACUAUCGCAACUUAGUGAUAUUUCUCACCAGACUAGCUACGCUCAAGUAAGAGUUACCUUUUGUAUUACAUGAAUAUCUAUUUGACUUUUUUUAUUUGUUUCAAUUAUUACUAUGUUGUGUUCCUAACACUCCUUUUUUUACCUUUUUACUGUAUAACCGUUGAUUAUUAUUGUUUAUCUACAAAUUCUGAUAAUUUUCUUGCUUGAUAUUGUUGCAGGUAUGCCGAGUCUGGCUUGUUCCGAAUGAAUAUUAUUACGUGAAUACAAGAUUUUCACAUUCUCUCUGUGGCCACUUUGUCGACAAGAAGCCCGGUGGUUUUGUGGAAUGCAUUUUCUGUCAUAAAAUUUCUGAUGCAGAGGUUGUACGCACUUUCCAUUUGAAAAUUACCCUUGCAGAUAAGAGUACAAAAGUUUUAGCAUGGUGUACUGGUCAAACUGCAAUGGAUUUGUUGCAGAUAUCUCCUGAGGAGUUUUAUGACCUUCCCGAGGUAAUAUCUUGAACUCGAUCCCAGUUAUUUUUUUAGGCCAAAAUUGUGUUCGUAUGCACAUGAUAUAUAAGGAGAGAAGCUAGUUGCACAUUUUUGAACAAAUAAACUUCUUUGGACGAAGGGAAGGUGAGGGAACCCACUUAUUACCGAGUGCCAGGACCACCAAAACGAACAACCGUCAGGCAAACAUACGCUAUCGUUGGAAACUUAAGGGUCAAUAUUUCUUUUUUCCACGGGUGAGAGAAUGUUAGUAGGAGAAAUUGAACCUCAUUCUUAAACUUAAAAAUAGUUAGAUAUAUUUAGUAUUUUGAUAAACAAUAUAGGUUUCAAUAUACUCCCUCCUAGUGACCUAUUUGUUAAAAAAAAUUGUUUUAAAAUAAAAUAAAUAUUUUAAUUUUUAAUGUGUUUAUUGUUUCAAUUGUAUUUUUUAAUUAAUAUUAUUUACAUCACUUCUAAUACAAUAUUUUCUAUCAUGCAUUUUUCGUUUAUACAUUUUUCUUAAUAUGUGAAAUUAUCAAAUGAAUUAAUUAUUAUGGGAUAGAAGGAGUAUCACAAUUAUUACUCAUAAUACACGGAUCCAUGUAAAGAUGUCAAAUCUUAACAACAUCUUAUAGAAUAAGAUUAGUAAUAUAGAUAGUCGAUCAAUAAAUCAAUGAUUUAUAUUGUAUAUACAUGUAUAAUCAAUUGUGAGUGAUUAUAAUCAAUUUACUAAUUUUUUUUUUUAGAAAUGUCAAAUGUAAAGAUAUCUCUUUGAUUUUCUGUUAAGAAACUUCGAACGUGCACUUCUUUUUUAUAAAAGAAGUGGCUGAAACCUAAAAAACAAAAAUACAUAGGAAAUAAUAAGAUGAGGAUUUGAAAAUCCUUUUACAUCAUGGAGCAAAGCCUUAGUAAGUGAUUGUCACUUCAACUAAACUAUCUAGCUGAUGUCACAUACACGAUUGCAAUUUUUCUAUAUUAAGCCAAACAUAACAUUAGUUGUUUCAACGCUUAAAAUUGUUAUUAUAGGACUUGUUUUCUAAGUUUUAGAAAGUGAUUUUAUUAUUCAACUUUUUUUAAAAAAAUACUACUAAUUAGUUUUAUUCGUGAGCAAGAGGUAUCGACAAUACAUUGAUUUCAUUUACAAGUGUGCGAAUAUAUCACCUUUUUAAUAUAAACAACACCUGAAUAAUAUUACUGUUAAAACUAUAUGUUGGUUUCACAAUAACAUUAUUUUGUUUCAUUUCAGGAAGAACAAUUGAUGUAUCCUUCGUCGUUAGAAAAUGAAAAGUUUAUGGUUGCAUUAGUAAAUUGUAAGCGGGAAGGUUGUGUGGCAUAUGACCUCUUACCAGAUGAUUCAAUUUCGUGGGAAAUCACCCGUGCAUACAAGUGUGAAUAAAUUAAUCGUAGCUGCACAUGGAACGGUGCCCUUCAAUUGUUGUAUAAAAUAAGGGAUACCGAAACCGCAACGUACUAACUUUGAAAUUGCGUUGAAGUAUUUUAAUUGGCGAUUCUUGAAUACUCGUCCAUUUUGAGACUAAGUCCAACAUCAUAACAUUAAGAAACACCACAUAGAUGAGAUCGUGUCCCAAGAGGAAAUGACUCGUAAACCAGCCAGUGAGGACAACCGAGUUGUCUUUUUAUUUAUGCAGCCUAGUUGUCUUUCUCACAAUGUAAUGAAACGUAUUUAUUGAAAGAAAAGGCGUAUUGAUGAUUAGCCUUUAUUUGUUUGAGGAAAAAUUGAGUAAAAAUAGAACGAUCUUAAUGUAAAGAUGUAUCAAAGUUCAAAGGCUCAAAAAUACGGUUUCAUCGUAUCAUCAUAUCAUCACAUCGAGAAUUUUGAGCUCUAUACACUUAUAAUUUUAUUAAUGGAGAAAAACAAACCUCAUCAUGGGUGCCCUUGGAUAACAAGGGGUUGGAUGAUCCUAAUGGUUUUGUCACCAAUUUUUACAACCCUUCUAUGUCUAUUUGGUUUUUCAAGCAUGUUUGACAUUAUUAGGAUCACUUAUAGUCAAAACGCAAGCUUGCAAUAGUUAGUCAAUUGAUUCGUAAUUAUAUAAAUAAAAAGAUUGAGGAUUCUCUUUUUUUUUUUUUUUUUUUUUGUCAUUAACAGAAGGAGGAUAACUGUAUUUAGAUGACAUAUGUUUUAGGUGUGGGUUUUACAUCACUUUGACUCCUAGUCAUUUGUUGUUUCAGCACUGCUUUUGUCUUGUUAGACUUUACUCUUAGUGCUUUUCUUAAGAUAUAUAUGUAUGUAAAAUAUAAAUAUAAAUGGGGCAAUGAUUUGUUAACACAUGAAAAAUAUAAAUAAGAUGUAGGAUAUUAAGGCAUAGGUAUAGAUACUCUUUACAUCGGUAACCAUACUAAAACAACUCAUAUAGUAAUUUAAAUAAGAUGUAGGAUAACAAAAUAUUAAGGCAUAGGUAUAGAUACUCUUUACAUAGGUAAGGUAACCAUACUAAAACAACUCAUAUAGUAAUUCAUCUAUAAUUAUUUUCAUCAUUAUAUUAGAUACAAAUUCUGCUAAUAUUUCUAUUGUGAUUAUUUUACCAUGACCAUUUUUUUAAAUAAAGGUUAAACAUUUGCAUCAAUUUUGUUUUGAGGAAUCAUUGGCAUCAAAUUUGAGAGUUAUAUUUCUUAAAAAGAAAAAUUGAGAUUUAUGUUAUAACUCAUUUAAUUUAGAAUUUGAUUGAGAUUUAAUUAAAUUUUAAAACUUAUUAUAAAAAAUUAAAACAUUUAUGUUUCUUUUUUGAAUUUAAAUAUUUUAAAGCAAAAAAUAAUGGUUGUUUUUUAAACAGACUCGUUAUUUGUUAUAAUUUCCAUUAAAUAUAUAAAAUUAAUCAAUAUUUUUGAAUAAAUUUAUUAGUAGAAUUAUUUUUCUUUAACGUUCGUAAAUUUUGUUGGAGAAUCUUAUAAUAAGGAAUGAAGAUAGUGUAUUUUUGUUUAGAUAUACUUUUUUUUUUUUUNNNNNNNNNNNNNNNNNNNNNNNNNNNNNNNNNNNNNNNNNNNNNNNNNNNNNNNNNNNNNNNNNNNNNNNNNNNNNNNNNNNNNNNNNNNNNNNNNNNNNNNNNNNNNNNNNNNNNNNAGUUUUAACAAGCAUUGAUUUCUAUUAAGUUUUUUUUCUUAAUUUUUGUGGAAACAAGUGUUCCUAAUGAAUUUUUUUUUUUUUUUUUUUUUUAUGAAUGUUUGUUAAGAUAUUUAGAUAAUUUCACUCUUAAAUAUAAGUUAUUCAGAUAAUUACAAAUUGUAAUAGUAUUAAUACUUUAAUCCUUUAUUUGAGAGAUUCCAUGAAGGUAGAGGAAGAGAGAAAAAUAUUGAGAAUUUUUUACUUUAUUUUAUAUAAUGAAUAUUAGAGAAUAAUAAAAAAAGUAUUUAUAAUCUAUAAUAUAUUUUUACUUCUUCCAAAAGGAUUUUUUUUUAAAACAUCUAAUAUUAAUAUAGUGUUGUUAUUUGUUGAUAGAGUGUUACAUUGAGAGUGUGGUUGGAAUAAUAGAUCUCCUUUUAAAAAAAUAAGAAAAUUUGUUUAUUAAAAAAUUGUACAUAAUAUUUAUUUUCUAUCAUUCUUUCAAUUUUAUCUAUUAUCUAUCAAAAAUACAUUAGAAUACACAUUUUAAUCGUAUUGCUAAGAACAUAAUCAUACUUUUUAAAAUUAUAAAAUCAGAUAUCAGAUAUAUAAUCAUACCUUUAUAAAUUAAAGCAAAAAUUUUAAUUGUGUCAUAUAUUAAAUGACAUGAAUAGAUGUAAAUAUGAAAAAGAAUAUUUAAUACAAUUUUUUUAAUAAAUAUAGAAGAAAUAAAUAUCUUUUCAAAAUUAGAUGUAUGUUAGUAUUAUUAAAGAUAAUUUAGAGUAAAUGUAAUUUUCGAAUGAAAAAUAUUAGAUCUCCUUUAUUACUUCACUCAGCAACCAAGCAAAUUAAAAAGGAUGUUGGAUUUCAGAAGAAAAAAAAAAUGUUGGUUUAGGAAGAAAAAUAAACUUUUCCAAAAUCCUCCUCUUUGCCAAGGUCUUCCUUCCAUUUUUUUUUUUCUUUUCCAAAAUCCUCCGAUUGUAAACUCCGGAACAUAACCUAAAACAAUUUAAACCAAAAUGCACGCCUUGCCGCAUUGCCCUUCUAUCAUAACUUAAACAAAUUUAAGUCUCAACUGCUCCCAAAUCCUCCAUAAACAGUGAGUUAAUUCCUUCCAUUCUCCUAUUGCAUCAUUCCACUUCGAUUUGUAGCCGCACCAUAGACCUGCGCCGUACCAGAUUCCGUGAUCUCGCAUUGCUUUAUUUUUGUAUUUUAUAUCGUUAUCUUUUUGCAUUCUUGAAAGUUAAUUAGCUUCUUGCUCAUAUAUCCUUAUCUUAUAAUAACCUGAAUUUCUGUUAUAUAAGAUACAAAAUACAUUUUCAUUUUUAUAGAAAUCUUUGGUUAAUAUAGGUUUGAGAUGGAUUCCACUAUGAAGAGAAAAAGAAGUUGUGUGCUACGUAAACCUAGGGCUAAUUCUGAUGCAAUAUUUCAGAGUUACUUUGGGUGUUCAUCACCCGUUGAGAACGAGAGUGUGAGAGAUACAGUUGUUGUUUGUGAUGGAUUAGGAACUGAUAACAAGCUGAAGAAGCUUAAGCUUAAGUUUGGCGGUGUUACUCAUACCAUUCAUACCAAAUUAAAGGUAAUUUAUGACUUGAUUUAUUUUUUAUAUUGUUUCCAUCAAAGAUUCUCAUUAUGCCUUUAGAUUAAUUUAAUAACUUUGUAAAUCAAAAUUAUGAUUCUUCAAUUUUUGGUAGCCGGUUUAAGUAUUUGCAAAAGUAGCUUUUGGUGUCCUUAAAUGGUUUUACAUUGUGGUCUGCAACUCCAAUUGCGACUGCAGUAUAAAGUUUUUCAAGGCUUCGGCAUGGCAUUAUUGCAACUGCAUUGGUUGACAGCAUUUUCCCGCUUUAUCAAGGAUUACAAUGUAUCUACAACUACAAUUUUGAACAUUUCCACUGUAUAACUCUGAAAUAAUCAAUCUAGAGAAGUUUACUCUGAAACUGUGACUAUAUUUCCUUUUGAUAAUUUGUUAUUAAGCUCCAAAGCUUCUUAUCUAUCAGUUAUGAAUGCAUGCAGGAUAAUGUAGAUGAAAACGAUGCUCGUCCUUUUGAUAAGAAGAGAGGUCUUGGGGACAAAUUGGUUAAGGUCUCAAGAACUGAAUCUGGUCUUGCAGCUGAGAAUCAUUCACGUAAGAGAACAAAAACUGGAAAAAGUAUAAAUGUCAACCAUGAACAUGUACGUAGUAAGAGCAAGCGAGUUACUGAGAGACGUGCCUCGGAUGUUGUGGGAUUUAGCGAUGAAGAUAGUGAAGAUGCAGAGCUUCAUUUUCUCGAAAAAAUCAAUGCAUCAAAAAGAGCAGUUAAUCGCCGUAAAGAUAAUCAAGGAGGCACAACAUCAAGUGACGAGUCAAUUUUAGAGGGGAAGAAGCCAAAGAGGGAAUCUGUUGAUUCCGUUGUACCGAGAAAACAUUGUACCCGCACUAAUCGUAAUUGUUCAGUUGACUCUUUCAAAGAUGUGUUAUCUGGGCCAGUUGCAAGCAUUAUUGACAUCUCAGGUAUUUUGUCCCACACUAUCUGGAAGGGACAUUCAUUUAUUUUAGAUUUAUUUUUACCCACCGAUGCUAUUUCAGUUGCUUUAUCGUUUUUAGUCUUAUUUAGAGAGUCAAGAUAAGAGACAAAUGAAAAGUAUAUGACGACAAGCCUUGAUAACAUAUGGUUUUUGCCCAAUCAUAAGUGAAAUAGAGUAUACAAAUUACAGGUUUAGCAUAGGACAAACAAAUUCUAAAGUAAAGGAGAAAUAGAAAAACAUAAAAUAUUACAAGUCUUGUGUUUUAAGCACCUUGAGUCCAUACAGAGUGAAGGGUAAGUAGAGGGAGAUGUCAACGAUUGGAUCACAGUGGGAUGGAUGAAAUAGGUGAAUGCUUCAAAUGUUAAAGCUUAAAGGAAAAUUUUAUCGCUUAACUAAAAUACCCAUAAUGCUGUAUGGAACUGAAUGUUGGAUGGUAAAAAGACAAUAUGUUAGUAAAUUUAUUGUCACAGAUAUGAGCAUGUUGCAAUGGACUAUAAGAUUAAAAAUACAGUCAUUAGAGAGAAAAUUUGUGUAGCCCUCAUAGUAUCCACUAGAAUCUUGUCUUCAAAUAGAUUGGGUGUGUUAUGAGGACCUAUAGAAACACAGACACUCAAAAACCUUAACCCCGGUGAGGAGAAUAGGCUCGAUGGGGGAUAUUCGCAUAGUUAGAGUUAGAGAGAGAUUAAGAAAAACUAUAGGUCAAGCCAUUAGAAAAAUUUAGAGGUGAGUAGUCUCUUGUUGGACCAAAUGCAUGUCAGGAUUUUACAGGAUUGGUUGAUCCAUGUAACCGACCUCACCAAUAGGUUAAAAGCCUGUUGUUGCAUUAUAACAGUGACUAAUACUAUUUGGAUUUUGUAGAUUUUUUAUUUGACAGUAUUUGGGUUUAGUUGAUAAACAAUAAUAGAUUGUAUUUUAUGUAGUGUAUAUUACUUUUAAUUGGUAUCUAAAAAUUUGAAAUUAAAUAAUUAAUAUUGGAAACACAAAACUUCAAAGAUAGGCUUUUGCGGAGUAGGUAUUUUUGAGAUCAUCAGAAUUUACCUUAUAGAUUUCGCAAUUAAAGUUAGGACAUGUCUAACAAAAAACUUUUAAAGAUAAGUUUUUGCAGCAUAAUUAUUUUGACUGAUGUAAGAGGGCCAACAAAUGGAUUGCAAGUGCUAACAUAACUUCUUUUCAAAUAGGCAAAUCUAAUGAAACAAAAUAAACUUUUAUAUACAAUGUAAUCUGAAGCAUUUUCCCCCAUCUUGUUUCACGGUUCAAUAUGAAGCAUUGACUCAAAAUUGUAUUUAAUAGUAACUAAUAUCUUAUAUGUAUUUUGUUUGCAACGACCAAUGUUAAUAAUUAGUAUUGUUAAUAUUAUUAAUAUUUUGUUGAAGAUCGAAUCCACAACAUCCUUAUCAAUUUGUUCCCUAUCAUAUAUGUUAAAUGACAUUGUAUACAUAUCUCUAGGAAUAUUUGUUGAAUCAUAUUUUCACUUUCUUUGUUGGUAAUAAGAUAAGAAGAGCCAAUUGUCAGAGGAGCAGCUAAUCAAGAAAGCUGAGGCUGCAAGGAAACGAAAAAUUCAAUCGGAGAAGGCAGCUAAGGAGGCUGAGGUUUGCAUGUGACUCCUUUGAUCAUCUUAUAUUGUAGUAUAGCGUUGGGAUGCAAUGCAAGAUAUACGUUCUAAACAAUGAUGUUAAUAAAUGAGUUUUCACUGUGUUUAUGUAGGAUGCAGCCAUUAAGAAGAUACUUGGUCAAGAUUCAGCUAGGAAGAAGAAAGAGGAAAAGAUGAAUAAGCGCAGGGAUGAAUUAGCCAAGGUCUUGAUAGAAUUGAUUACCAACCUUCCUCCUCUUAGCAUAUUGUUUCAAGUUCUAACAUGUUGGUUGUGCAGGAAAAAUCUAGCAAACCCUUCCAUCUAGCAACGAACACUAUUCGUUGGACUAUGGGUCCCAAAGGAACGGUAGUAACUUUUUCUGAUGAUAUUGGUCUACCAAGUAUCUUCCAAACAAAACCUAGCAGGUACAUCUUUGCAACUAAAUCUUGCGCCUAGGGAGUUUUAAUCUUCUUGUUAUCUUUGAUUUUUUUUUAGCAUUUUCAAUAUUUGAUAUGCUUUAGAAAAUUCUUUUCUGUAAUGAUUAUCUUAUGGAUUGUUUCAGUUAUCCUCCCCCGAGAGAAAAAUGCGCAGGUCCAAACUGCACUAAUGCUUUCAAGUAUAGAGAUUCCAAGUCAAAGCUUCCCCUUUGCAGUCUUGGUUGUUACAAAGCAAUUCAUGAAAAGAACUCACCUAUGGCUGUAUGUUAGUUAGUCCUUGUAAGUAGUAGAAAAUAGCAGUUAGAUUUGACAUUUGCUAGAUGCUAAAAUGUGGUGAUAUUUGGCCAGGAGGAUAUCUGUGGAAAUAUAUGAGGAAAAAUUAUCCAAAUGGAUCUAUUUGUCUCAUAAAAGAAAUGCAUUUCUAUGAUGUUUUCAUCAUUUAUCCUGUUUGUAAGUUCAUUGCGUUACUACUCAUGCCAAUCGACACCUAAGUCCAAUUAAUUUAAUUUGUACCGUAGACAAUUUUUUUUUUUAAAAAUUCAUUCGUCCCUAUUGUAAAUUUUUCUAGUACUUUUUUCCAAGACUCUUAAAAUUGCAAUGUACAUUAAGUAUUUUUCACAAAGUUAAUUAAAGGUAUAGAAUUGAAAGACUGGGCUAUAGUUCGACUUACAAAUGUUGGUAUUAUUAGGUUGGAUAUUAUGUCUCGAGUUUGAAUAUGGAAUUUCGAAUUUGUGUGUAAAUUUCUUUACCAUUUUAUCUAUAGAUAAAAGUUAACUCAAUCUCUUUUUUCUCUUAGUAAUUGAAGGAUGAUUUUGAAAUAAGAUAUAUAUAAUUGACAAAUUUAAUUAAUAUAAUGUUAGCAAUAUAUUAAAUAAUUAAACUUUUCAUACUGCUGGUUUGAAGAUUCAACUAGUCUUGUGAUGUAGAUUCAAAUAGUCUUAUGAUGUGACGUGAAAUUAUAUUGCAAUAUGAAAAUACAUACUUUUAUAAUCAUAGACUUGUGUUACAGUGUGGUUAGGAUAACAAUGACUUGGAGACUUGAGUGGUUUUAUUCAAUGUGAUGCAAUGUAAAAUGACAAUGGAUAAUGACAAUGAUAACAUAUGUCUUGUGUAGUAACGAGUUAGAAGAAUUUGAGGGUGUUCUCCUGUUCUUAUAUUAUUAACAUAUAUAUUGACCAUUAAUAUUUUUAAUAUUUUAGGCGAACAUUGUAUUUUAUUUUUAAGAGUGUUUUUAAAUGAUGACAUUUUAAAAGAAAAUAUAAAUUUAGAUAAUAAUUCAGUUCAAUGUAUUUUAACUUAUUAUUUGUAUAGUAAAUUUGAAAGAAAAAAAAUCGAAGAGAUAUUUUUUGAAAUAUUAUACUAAAGCUAAAACUGAGAAUUGAUUUUUAUUUUUCCGUUAUAAAAUGUGAAUACGACAAAUUGGCAACUUCAUUAGUAUAAUUUUUUUCAAUUGCUUCAGAAACUUGUUUUCUAUGAUUGAGGUCCCAACUUUUCUAAAAUUUUAAAUUUGAGUUUAAGUUUUAUUAAAAAUUAUUUUGAAGCUCUAUUCUUUAUUUUUUCCAAAACUUUUUGAACUUUUAAAAAUGACUCAACUAUAAACAAACCCAUGUUUUUAGAUUUAUAUUUUAUUUCAUCAUUUGAUUCAAAUAAAAAAAUUAUAAUAAAUAUUUUUUAUCAAUUCAAAAAUAAAAUUUUUCAUAAAAAAGUCAAUAAAAGUUUUUCUUCUUCUUAAUAAGAAAGACCACUUGAAACUCUCACACACAAAGGAGACAUCCUGAGUAGUUACGAUGCCUAGCCUGCCAAUAUCAACAUUGCCAGAUGCCAGAUGAACUCUAGGCCUUACAGAGUCAAUUGAAGAAUUCUGAUACUAAAAUUUUAAAUUCUCUAGGAUUUUCAACUCUCAUCCAGAAAAAAAAAUAAAUAAAGAAAGAAAGAAAGAAAACGUUUUCCUCUGUAUCCGUACCUUCCCUCAAAGUUUCACUUCAACUAAAAAUUUAUACCAACUUGUCAUUGACAUUGGUCAAAAUACAUAAUUACAUGACAAAAGUAUUAAGUACAAUAUAAGGUCAUAAAGUAUCAGUUGAGUUUACAAGACAUUCCUAACGAUAGCAUGAGGCUAAGAAUCUUGACAUUGGAGCUAACUUGAACAAUGAAGACACCUAAGAUCCAUACAUGAAAACGGCUCCAUGUUCUGUAGAUUUAAUGAAUUUCUUCAGCAAAAGAACCAUAAUUGCUAUAGCAAGCCCAAUAGCUGCCAAUGUGAACAAUCGGUCGUCAGGUUUUUGAACCCUUGUCUCUGGUUUCACAUUUUGAACCCUUCCAUCUGGCUUUUGGAGCAACUGAUUGUUUGAGACGCUGCUGGAUGGAAUAUCUUUUGAAGCUUCAACUCCUGCCGGGUUUGGAUUAACAUUGACAGGGACUUCUUGUUGUUCUUCAACUAUUCUGUCACCUGCUUGAUCUAGAAUACCCUCUUCUGCAGGUAGUGCCUCAGGAUUUUGUAAAGUGAUUUGGGUCUCGGCCUCAGGAUUUGGUAAAGUAACUUGGGUCUCGGCCUCCUCAUUUUUUGGUUCUUCAGAAGCCGGCGAAGGGCUAGGUUGAGGAAUAGGGACUGCCUUGCUUAGCAUAUACUCAUGAAUCUGAUGACAAAGUGCAAACAUUUCGAGAUAUUAUAAAAAAUGAACAUGAGGAAUUCUGAAUAACAUGCACUGCAGGAAAAACAAAAAGCAACAUUUACCUCAUCAAUCAGUUUCUGACGUUCAGGAGACCCAAAUUUAGGAGAUGCUUCACGGGAUUUGAUGGCCAAGGCACGCCUAUCUUCUUUCUUGUAGUCCAAUGAACCCAAGGCACCAUUUGGGUUGGUGGGCAUGAAUGCAAUCAGUGCAACUAGAGCAGUCCUUACUGUCAAAAGAUAUUUACUUAAGCUAAUUUAGUGAGAGAGAUUCUUCCAUCAAAGCAAAGUAUAAAAUUUCAAUGGUUAUGAAUCAUGAUAACUACUAUUAAAGAGGGGCUAGAAGAGUUUCUUUGAGCUUAUCUUAUGACAUAAGUACUUGCGCAAGCAUUAGAAAACUUAAGAAAAUAGCUUAUGAAACAACUUAUGAACUCAUUUUUCACAAGUUCAAUAUAACUUAUUGUCUUCGAUUGUUGAAACACUCGUAUACACAAGUUUUAACAUGUGUUUAUACAAGAGUCACAAGAUACAUGUAGCGAUGUAUACUUUGUGAAGUAUAUAAUCAUUAUCAUAGUAAUUAAGAUUGUGAGGAAAAAGUGUAAAUGAAGAAAACAGCACAGAUGCAUUUCAUUCCCAUUUGACAGGUAUGAGUUGACUAUUCUUAAGUGCAACAACUUAAUUUGAUAAAUAUUUCCUAGCAAAAUAUAUUCCCUCUUUUAAUGACAGAAAAUGCAUCAAACAUAAAAAUAGACUAAUGAGAGUAUAAAUACAUUGUCAAAUCCUGUUAUUAUUAAGGAAAAUUGCUUUGUUACUUAAAGAGCAGCUUAACAUUAAAAAACAACAAGAUUCAUGGAAAGCUAUAUAGGUAGCAUGCACUCAAAUAUUUCAGUCGGUGUACUAAGAGAAAAAUAACAUCAAAAAUAAAUAUUUUAAACAAACAUCGUCUUGUAUGAAUCUGCACUUCUUCUAUAUCCAAAAUGAGCAAAAAUGAAGAAAUACUCACCGCCCCAUGAUGGUUGCCAGUGCUCAGGGUGAUGAUUUGAUAUGCUCAAGCAAAUCUUGGUUUGAGUCUCAAAACGACCAUUAGGCUGACAGCAUAACAAUGAAAUUCUUAAGCAUAUAGAAAUUGAGCUUUAUUUAAUAGUUCAAUAAAUAAAUUAAGAGACACAAGUGCCCAAAACAUUCAUAUCAGUGCAUGUUUGAAUUGACGGUACGUUUGACAGAAUAACACUGUGCCAUCGUGCUUUUGGCAAAAGCUACACAUCCAAGCUUCAAAUAAAAUAAAGGUACAACCACCGUGAUUUCAUAAAACUCACUGCACUACAAUAACAUCAGAAUCUAGUUAAUCUUGAGAGUAAGCAACAUCUUACUGUCAACAACAUAAAUGAAGGAGGUUUGAAUGGAUAUUCAGCAGGCAACUGAAUCCUUCCAUGAUAAAUACCACCCUCAAACUCAGUUUCACCAGGUCCCCUAAUUGCAAAUUGCCAUUCAAAUAUAUUUUCCUGAAAAAACCAACACAAAAAUAUUAAAUUCCAAUACUUGAAUAAAUCCUUCAUAACUACUUGAUGAUCCUCAAAAUUAUAAAACCAACUUAUCAAAAUAACAAAUUUCAAUUGAAUUGCAACAUAUAGCAAAAUUAUGCGAGAUCGCGAAAUGAAAACCCUAAAUUGAAAAAAUUGGUACCUCGAGAGGAAGGCUCAUGAAAUCAUCGGAAGGAUUCGAUUGCAUCUCCUUAACCUCUUGGAGAAUCCGCUUAACGGCUGGAUUCUUCAUGUUGUACUUGUCCGCCAUCGUUGCUAAUGAUGAGAUUGCGUGCACAGAAUUCGAUGGAAUUUUUUUGUAACAAACGGUGAUUGAAGAAAGGGAUUUGUGAGUUUGUGUUGCGUUAUUGAGAUCGGAAAUUAUGUAGAAGAAGAAGAAGAGGAUGUUAGGUUGUUUCUCUCCGACAAUGGACACGUCACGAUAAUUUUGUUAUCUUACGUGUCUCUACUUUAUUGGAUACCAUGGAGCUGAGGUGUUUUUUUUAUAAAUCCCAAAAAUUAUCAAUACAAAGUUAUUUUCUUUUUUAUUUAAAAAACUUAAAUUUUUCUUUGUCAAAAUAAAUAAAUUUAUAUAUAUGGUAACAUCAUUAUGAUUUUGGAUAAUAACUAUAUAUUUACUCAUCUUUGUCAGAAUAUGAGUCAUGAUAUGAACCUUCCUUUUUUAAAAUUUUAGCGAAAAUUUGUGAAGGAAAAAGAUAAAGUAUUCAUAAGAUUUAAAAUAAGUCCAUUUUGACAUUGGUCCUUCCAAUUAUAUUCUGUGUUUAUUUUUGUUUGACUAGUGUUCGAAUAUAUAUUAUUUUUUUAAUAAAAAAAUAUUUAUCUAUAUAAAUUAUUCAUAAAAACAAAAAUAGUUAUUUUAAAAUAUUAAAUUUGAUGAAAAAUAAUUAAGAGUUUAAUUUUAAUUAACGAUAAAAAUAAUUAAAAUUAAGUAGAAUUAAAUCAAAAUAUUUUUUAAAAAAACACGCUACAUAACAUAUCUAAUUAAGAAUUAAUUAUCAAAAGUUUUAAUGAAAAUAAGACAUCAAAUAUAUAAGAAAUACUAAUUCAUUCAACUAGUCAAAAAGAAAAUAAAGAAAUAAUAUUACUUAAGAUAAAAAGUGAAAUAAAAUAUAUCUCAAAUCAAUGUUUUCAAAAUAUAUAUAGUAUUUUUUAUAGAAAUAAAAUAUUUUAUAAUCAUUGAAUAUUUAAAGCAAAACAAAAUGAAUGUAAACAAUUAUUCUUUUUUUUAAUAAUAUUUUAGAGUAAAAUUACUUAUGUUUUAUUUUAAUCAUUUUAAUUGUAUAUAUAAACAAUCACUUAUUUUUUUUAAUUAUAUUUUUUAAAGGGAAAAUUACUUAUUUUAUUACAAAAUUUUCAAUUAUUUUCAUUUUUUUGUUAUACAACAAUUAUUCUUAUAAAUCAAAAUACUUACAAAUAUUAAAAAAAAAAAAAAACAGAUUAGUACAUCAUAUUUAUACACCAUAAAUAUCACUUUAAAAUAUUUUUACAAAUUUAUAUUUAAUUUUUUCUUACAAAUUACAUGCAGCGUAUUAUAUUUUAGUUAAUGUAUUAUUCAAUCAUGUAUUUUUGAAGGAUUUGAAUCAUCUCCAUGAAUAUUCUCUCUAUGUUCAUUUCUUAUCCUCUUAUUAAUUUUCUUUUCUCUUCCCCUCUUUUCUCCAUCUCUUCAAUAUUUUUUUUCUCUCCCUUUCUCUUUUAGAUUUAGCGGAGAGAAAACAAAUAAAUUAUUUAUAAAUUAAGUAAUCUUUUUAAAUCAGAAAAUAAAAAUCUAAAUCCCUUUAACUGUUUUGAGAAGUUGUAGUUACAAAUUCAAGCGAAACAGUAAUAAAAAUAAAUUAUUGUUAAUUUAAUUAAUAAAAUAAUAAUUAAAUAUUUUAAAAUAAUUAAAAUAUAUUUAACAGAAAAAAUAUAUUAAAGUUAAUGUGGUUGAGUAAAUGUAUCGACUCUUAUUUUCCACAUUAACAAUUUUAUUUUAUUUUGUUAGUGUUUUUCUUUUAUUUUUUCUCUGAAUCAAAUAAAUAAAAGAUGAUAAUAAUAAUAAUAAUAAUAAAGUAAAUUAUAUUAAUAAAAUAAAAUAUAUUAAAUUGAAGAAAUAAAAUAAUUAAAUUAAAAAAAAAAAUGCUACUAACACAUCUACUCAAAUUUGAUAUAUUUUUUUCUUCCGUUUUAAUGUAUUUUCUUCAAAAUUAUUAAUAUAAUUUACUUUAUUAUUAUUAUUAUUUUUAUUAUUAUUUAUUCAUUUAUUAUAUUCGGAGAGAAAAUAAAAUAAAAUUGUUAACAAAAUAAUAUUAAGUGCUAAUUUAACAAGAAAAUAGAAAUGAAUUGUUAAAAUAAUAUAUCAUGUUAUUUAUUUUUAAUUUAUUAUUAUUUUUAUUUAUUAGAUUAGAGUAAAAAUAAGAUGGAGUUGUUAACAAAAUAAAAUUAUUUGAUUUUUUUAUUUAUUCGAAAUUAUUAAUAUAAUUUUGUGUUUUAAACAUUUUAAUUAUAUUUUAUUAAUUAAAUUAAUAAUUUUUCCAAUUUUUAAAAGUUAAAAUAAAAAACAUUAUAUAUACUUAGUAGUUUGUCUCCCAUUGAAAAAAAAAACUGUUAUUUAUGUGAUCGCAUCUUAUAAAUAUGACUUUUUGUCAAAUAUUAAGUUAUUUUAAUAUAUUUUUUUUAAAGUAGAACAAUUUAAUUAUUUUUUUUAAAAGGAAUAUUUAAAUAAAAAUAAAUACUAUAUGUCUUUACUAUUUUCUAAGAGUUUACACAUAUGUUAUAUUUUUAAAUUAACAACUUUUUUAAUUAAAAACAAGCACACAUAAUUUGUAAAGUUAGAUAAAAAGAAAGAGAUUAUUCCCAAAAAAAUGUAACAAUUAUUAUUAGAAUCUUAACCAAAAGAUAUCUAUAUUAAUGGUCAAUAGUGUUUGAAGAGGAAUAAACUGAAAACAUAUACAAUAAAAUAAAUUUUAAUUAAAGUUUUAUCUUCUUUUAAUCCCUCGCAAACGUCUCAUUUACAAAAUUAGUUUUUUACUCAGUUUAGUUUUUCAGUCCGAUUUUUGAAUCAAUGAUGUGGAAUUAUCAAAGUAGAUUUAUAAUUUAAAAUUAAGUAAAAGAAAAACAAACACUAACAUAGUACUCCCUUAUUCUUUAAUUAUGAGAAUCUACUAGUAUUUCACAUCUUUAUCUUCAUCGCUUAAUAAACCGUUUUUUAAAUUCUACACGAGUAAACGAUUUGUUGAUAAAACUAUUCUUAUUUAAUUUACUAUGUAAAAAUAACAUAUUUUUUUGAAUAUUUGUUGGAGAGUGUUAUGGAGGAGAAUAGAAACGGUUGAGAAUGUUGGAUAAUGGACACUUGGAAAGGUGGGCCUGUGGUGAAGCCCAACAAGAUUGCCAAAUGUAAUGUUUAAAAGCAGCGUGCCACGUGUGCAAUGUCUCGUAGUUCACUAGAAGUUAAUCGAGACGAUGGUGUCGGCGGCCAUCUCAAAAUUGAACUCCUUUUAUAAAGACCGACACAGACAGCAACUUCUUAGGAUAAUUGAAGAUGCAGGAACAGGCUAAAUCUGAGGAGAAGAAAAUUGGUAUGACAGAAACAUGGUUAAGGAAACACCGUCUUAUCUACGACGCUGCUACCAGACAUCCUUUUAUUCUUAGCAUUCGUGAUGCCACCGUCCAAUCUCAUUCCUUCAAAACAUGGCUUGUAAAUCAUAUCUCUCCCCUUUCUCUUAUCAAUUUAAUACACAUUUUUUAAUUUGUUUCAUGUCUUAUGUUAUGUUAUGUCAUUCAGGCACAGGAUUACUUGUUUGUUAGAGCGUUUGUCCCAUUUGUUGCGAGUGUGCUGAUAAAAGCUUGUAAGGAAUCAUCAGAUGAAAGUGAUGACGUGGAAAUCAUAUUGGGGGGUAUGGCUUCUCUUCAGGAUGAGAUAUCAUGGUUUAAGAGAGAAGCCAACAAAUUGGAUAUUUCACUCUCAGAAGUUCUUCCUCAAAAGCCAAACCAAAAAUAUUGUGGGUAGGUUUGUUAUUCGUCUUUUUUACUUCUAAAACAUGUCGUUAUUACGAUUCAUAUUUGGGGUUUUUACGAUUCAUGUGCUGUUUUUUUUGAAUAAAACCAGACGGUUCAAAUAUACCGAAUAUAGUACAAUUGACAGUACUAAAUCUAAAAUCUAAAUUCAUUUUCUUUUAUACUUUACCCUUUAUGGUAAGAGGACAGUACUGAAUCCAAAUUCUUUUAUUGUUUUCCCUUUUUGGUAUCAUCCUCCCUAUUUCUUUUUGACAUACAGAUUUUCAUAACUAUAUUUUUUAGUAAAUAUAACUGAUACUUCUCAUUUAAUUAUUAUUUUUAAUUGUACUAUGCAUUUAUUACUAUAUACUACCACUUCCAAUAUAUUAAUUUUAUUUUAUAUUUAUGGUGGUGAAAAUACACUAAUAAUUAAAAAAAUUAAUUUAAUAAAAUGAUUAUUUUUAUUUUAUAAUAUAUUUAAACGAUACACCUUUUAAAACAGAGGGAUAGUUAAGUACUUAUAAAAUAAGCAAUUGUUAUAUAAAUAUUUUUUAUACAAUAAAACAGUAAAAUAUAACUAAAAGUAGGGUCAGUAGUUAAUUUAUUUAAAAUAAUUACAAAAUCAGUAAUUAUUAUAUAAAUAGUUGUAUACAACAAAACAGUAAAAUAUAAAUAUAAGUAAAAAUAGGGUCAAUAGUUAAUUUAUUUACUUUAAAUUUUGAACAAAUAUAUAAUUUUUUUCAACUCAUUCUUUUUAAUUUAUAUUUGAGAUCAGAGUAGACUAGUAUUUAUUUUUAUGUAAAAUAGUUUAUAAAGUAAAUAAUUGUGUGCAUGUAUUGGUGAGACAGAUUGCUAGAAAGUUUGAUGAGUGAAGAUGUGGAAUACAGUGUGGCUAUUACAGCAUUUUGGGCAAUUGAAGCUGUGUAUCAAGAGAGUUUUGCUCACUGUAUUGAAGAAGGCUCUAAAACCCCACCACAACUGAAGGAGACUUGUGCAAGAUGGGGAAAUCAGGAUUUUGGUCACUACUGCCAAUCUAUUAAAAACAUUGUCAAUCGCCGCUUGCAAAUGGCUUCUGAUGAUGAACUCAAAAAAGCUGAACUUGUGUUUCUCAGUGUUCUUCAACUUGAAGUUGAGUUUUGGAAUAUGAGCUCUGGAAAUGUUUGAUUUUCUUCAAAAGAAACCUUUGAUGUAGUCCUAUGCAUGUACUAAAAUAAUGAAACUUUGUUUGCUCUUCGUGUUAGAAAAUAACUAAGGAACAAGAUCUCAUAAUAGCUUCUACUCUUCUACAGCAAGAUGCAGAGGGAUAAUUUAUGUAACGAGUUUCAUCAAAUAAGCAUACAGAAAAACUCUCACAAAAUUUACUUGUUGAAUUAGAGUUAUUUGCAACAAAGGGAUAAUAUAUAUUUUUAUUUCGGAAACGUUUUACAACAAAGUGGCUGUAGUUUAGUGGUGAGAAUUCCACGUUGUGGCCGUGGAGACCUGGGCUCGAAUCCCAGCAGCCACAAAUUUAAUUUUUGCUUAACCACAAUUUUUGUUCUCAAAAUAUUCUUCUUCAUUUUAUUUGUGAAAGUUUUGGAAUGUUAGAUUAGUGCAACCAGUGUUGUUUAGAGAAUUCAAAUCCGGAUAAAAAAAAAAUUAACAAACCAAAUAAAUCAUAUGAAGAUGCUUUGGUUUUGCAAAUUGUUUUUAGUGGAAUAAUAAAUAUCAAAUGUACCACAUAAAAUUGGGGAACUUUAUACUCCACUAAGAAUAACUUUAUUUGAUAGAUUAUUCCACUGACAAAUUGUCCUUGUCUCAUAAUUUUGCAUUAUUAUGUUCCCUCCUCUGCAUCUAUAAAAGAAGACUUGUAGUAUGCUCACAAAUUAAUAAAGCUCUAAUAACAUAAAAUUAGCAUAGUCCAUAUGGCUGAUUUUCAACAAAAACUUGAUGCACUAAAGGGUCUUGUUGGUGUGCUAAAUAGCAUGGGUGAUGAUGGUCAUGAAAAUGGUGAUUCUCCUUCAACUCCACAUAAUUACCAUCCUACCCCUCAGCCAGAAAGGAAACGAUCCUCUGGAAAAUAUAGCAACACUGGCCACCAAAAUAUAAAAGGUCUAAGUAAUCAAACCGGUUUUACUGAAGGCAAUGCUAAUGGAGCUAUCAACUUUGGUGAUUUAAAAAUGUAAUAAAUCACUCUAAAUGAGUAUAAUGCUUUAUAUGUAUGAAGACUUUGGCAUAAAUAAAUAAUAGUGUAACUUAUUAUUAGAAUAAGUGCUUUGUUGCACAACUCCAAUAUCUUCACAAGUUUAUUAUAUGUAUUAUUAUGAUGAUGAUGGCGUCUAAUGUAAUUAAUAGAAGCAAUUAUUUAUAUAUUAGCUUUGUAAAUUAUUGGUAGCCUAUUUACAAAGCAUCAUUAAUUAGGAAUUUAGGAUGCUGGUAGAGGUAAUCUGGCACCACCUCUUCGUGGCAUAGACUUAUGUUCAAAACAAUCUAAUUAAAAAUAUAAUUAAUAAUUAUUUAUUAGAAAUCAAAGUUGAAGAAUAAAAUAGAAUAAGGUGACACAAAAUAACAUUUUCUCCAAUGUCUCCAGCUGGUUUUAGUGGUGAAGCAUAUGGUUUAAUUGAUUGGGAAAUAAAGGAUUUGAUUUGACAGCAUAUUUUGACUAAUUCUUGUUAAUGCGAAUUCAAAAAUAUUUUCUCUUAAGUUAUUCUCCUUCAACUCAUUCUUAAUUGAUUUGUAUGAAGUUUCAUCACUAAUAAUUGAGUCUCAACGUAAUUUGUCUUUUAACCUCUGUAAUAGAUCAUGG
rnacentral:lncRNA from 1 species